CGGGACACGUGGUAUCCUGUCUGAAUAUGGGGGGACCAUCCUCCAAGGCUAAAUACUCCUGACUGACCGAUAGUGAACCAGUACCGUGAGGGAAAGGCGAAAAGAACCCCGGCGAGGGGAGUGAAAAAGAACCUGAAACCGUGUACGUACAAGCAGUGGGAGCACAGAGCAAUCUGUGUGACUGCGUACCUUUUGUAUAAUGGGUCAGCGACUUAUAUUCUGUAGCAAGGUUAACCGAAUAGGGGAGCCGAAGGGAAACCGAGUCUUAACUGGGCGUUAAGUUGCAGGGUAUAGACCCGAAACCCGGUGAUCUAGCCAUGGGCAGGUUGAAGGUUGGGUAACACUAACUGGAGGACCGAACCGACUAAUGUUGAAAAAUUAGCGGAUGACUUGUGGCUGGGGGUGAAAGGCCAAUCAAACCGGGAGAUAGCUGGUUCUCCCCGAAAGCUAUUUAGGUAGCGCCUCGUGAAUUCAUCUCCGGGGGUAGAGCACUGUUUCGGCAAGGGGGUCAUCCCGACUUACCAACCCGAUGCAAACUGCGAAUACCGGAGAAUGUUAUCACGGGAGACACACGGCGGGUGCUAACGUCCGUCGUGAAGAGGGAAACAACCCAGACCGCCAGCUAAGGUCCCAAAGUCAUGGUUAAGUGGGAAACGAUGUGGGAAGGCCCAGACAGCCAGGAUGUUGGCUUAGAAGCAGCCAUCAUUUAAAGAAAGCGUAAUAGCUCACUGGUCGAGUCGGCCUGCGCGGAAGAUGUAACGGGGCUAAACCAUGCACCGAAGCUGCGGCAGCGACACUAUGUGUUGUUGGGUAGGGGAGCGUUCUGUAAGCCUGUGAAGGUGUGCUGUGAGGCAUGCUGGAGGUAUCAGAAGUGCGAAUGCUGACAUAAGUAACGAUAAAGCGGGUGAAAAGCCCGCUCGCCGGAAGACCAAGGGUUCCUGUCCAACGUUAAUCGGGGCAGGGUGAGUCGACCCCUAAGGCGAGGCCGAAAGGCGUAGUCGAUGGGAAACAGGUUAAUAUUCCUGUACUUGGUGUUACUGCGAAGGGGGGACGGAGAAGGCUAUGUUGGCCGGGCGACGGUUGUCCCGGUUUAAGCGUGUAGGCUGGUUUUCCAGGCAAAUCCGGAAAAUCAAGGCUGAGGCGUGAUGACGAGGCACUACGGUGCUGAAGCAACAAAUGCCCUGCUUCCAGGAAAAGCCUCUAAGCAUCAGGUAACAUCAAAUCGUACCCCAAACCGACACAGGUGGUCAGGUAGAGAAUACCAAGGCGCUUGAGAGAACUCGGGUGAAGGAACUAGGCAAAAUGGUGCCGUAACUUCGGGAGAAGGCACGCUGAUAUGUAGGUGAAGCGACUUGCUCGUGGAGCUGAAAUCAGUCGAAGAUACCAGCUGGCUGCAACUGUUUAUUAAAAACACAGCACUGUGCAAACACGAAAGUGGACGUAUACGGUGUGACGCCUGCCCGGUGCCGGAAGGUUAAUUGAUGGGGUCAGCGCAAGCGAAGCU
rnacentral:rRNA from 1 species